ensembl:lncRNA
CUGGGUGUCACACACAGCCUGGGUGUCACACACAGCCUGGGUGUCAUACAGAGCCAGUCUGGGUGUCACACACAGCCCUGGGUGUCACACAGAGCCCUGGGUGUCACACAGAGCCUGGGUGUCACACAGAGCCAGUCUGGGUGUCACACACAGCCUGGGUGUCACAUAGAGCCCUGGGUGUCACACAUAGCCCUGGGUGUCACACACAGCCUGGGUGUCACACAUAGCCCUGGGUGUCACACACAGCCUGGGUGUCACACACAGCCCUGGGUGUCACACAUAAUCCUGAAUGUCACACAUAACCCUGGAUGUCACACCUUAAUUGUACAUGUCACACCAUAACUAUGCAUGUCAUACACAGCCCUGGGCGUCACACAUAGCCCUGGGUGUCACACAGAGCCUGGGUGUCACACAGAGCCAGUCUGGGUGUCACACAGAGCCAGUCUGGGUGUCACACACAGCCCUGGGUGUCACACACAGCCCUGGGUGUCAGACACAGCCUGGGUGUCACACACAGCCCUUGGUGUCACACAUAGCCUUGGAUGUCACACAUAACUCUGCAUGUCACACCAUAACCGUGCAUGUCACACCAUAACUGUGCAUGUCACACAUAACCCUGGGUGUCACACACAGCCUGGGUGUCACACCCUGCAUCACACCCCACACCCACAUCCCCCCUGUCCCCACUUUGCUGCUCCUCCCCGAGCCCUGCAGAGCCCGGGAUGCCAAUCCCCAUCAGACAUGGGUGACAAACGAGCUGCUCACCCUGUGUCACCCAGGAUGGCCUCUCACCCCUGCUGCAAAGCCACCACGUCCCCCAUGGGUCACUGGGCCUCAGUUUUGAACCCCCCACAUGCUCCUAGAGGGGCUGGUUCAGCUCCUGCUCCCACAGCAGAGCUGCUGCUGAAGGCUUCAUCCCUCGAGGGUCUCAGGGGUGCUGCCCUGGGACAGGCUGAGGUGACCAGAGGACAUGGAUCCUUCUAGAAAACAUCCCUUCCCUCCAUGGGGGCUCGGAUUUGAUGCUGCUGCUGCACCGUCUGGGAAGCACUGUCCCACUCCCCGAGGUGACUCCCAGCCAGCCGGGUGCUUCUGAGAUAAGAAAUGAGAGUCAGCAAGUCCAGCGAGGCUCCCACAUUCGAACAGAACAUGGGGAAAAGGAAUUCUGGCAGCAGCAGAACUGAGGAAGCUCAAAUUUGUGUCUCCUGGACCAUUUCCUUUUUUCCUUCUAUUUUUUUUUUUUUUGUGGAAUAUCCACGCCUGGAAAGAAGACCCUAAAUGUUGGAUUUUCCCCCCCAGAAUUUCCAUGCCCUUCCAUCCUCCCCACCAGCCCUGCUGUGCCCUCUGCAUUCCCACUCCCCACACUCUGUGGAGAUGGAUUUUGUGUUUCCCUGCCUCAGUUUCCCCCUGCCCUUCCCCACUCCUGCACAUCCCCCAGAUUUCGGUACUAAUCACAACAACUCUGCUGACAGACAAGGCAACGUGUGCAGGGAAGGCGAGGAUUAAUAUAGCCGAGGAUAUAAGAAAUUAAUUACUCUCAGGCAGACAAUGUUGGCACCUCCAGUCAGCCUGAUUUAUUUCCACGGCUGCUCUAUUUUUGGCCAACCCAGAAUGUUUGACUAAAUAUACGACAACAAGGAGCUGGAAUGGGUGGGGGAGCCGCUGCUAAACCCACAACCCGGAGAGGCUGAAACCCGCACGGUGCCGGUGCCGGUGUCUCGGGAGGAGCCGCAGGAGGGAGCUGGACCGGAGAGCGAGGCGGGGAUCGCUCUGUGUUUGUGUGUUUG